CCUACGGGAGGCAGCAGUGAGGAAUAUUGGUCAAUGGGCGUAAGCCUGAACCAGCCAAGUCGCGUGAGGGAUGAAGGUUCUAUGGAUCGUAAACCUCUUUUAUAAGGGAAUAAAGUGUGGGACGUGUCCUGUUUUGUAUGUACCUUAUGAAUAAGGAUCGGCUAACUCCGUGCCAGCAGCCGCGGUAAUACGGAGGAUCCGAGCGUUAUCCGGAUUUAUUGGGUUUAAAGGGUGCGUAGGCGGCCUUUUAAGUCAGCUGUGAAAGUUUGUGGCUCAACCAUAGAAUUGCAGUUGAAACUGGCAGUCUUGAGUAUGUUUGAGGCAGGCGGAAUGCGUGGUGUAGCGGUGAAAUGCUUAGAUAUCACGCAGAACCCCGAUUGCGAAGGCAGCCUGCCAAGCCAUGACUGACGCUGAUGCACGAAAGCGUGGGGAUCAAACAGGAUUAGAUACCCUGGUAGUC
rnacentral:rRNA from 1 species